rnacentral:rRNA from 1 species
UACGGGAGCACAUCAGCGGCAGACGGGUGAGUAACACGUAGAUGACGUACCCUCAAGACGGGGAUAACGGAUGGAAACAUGCGCUAAUACCGGAUGACCUUACGAUGUCAGAAUGGUAAGGAAAGCUACGGCGCUUGAGGAGCGGUCUGCGGCCCAUCAGCUAGUUGGUAGGGUAAAGGCCUACCAAGGCGAAGACGGGUAGGGGGUGUGAGAGCACGGCCCCCCACAAUGGGACUGAGACACGGCCCAUACUCCUACGGGAGGCAGCAGCAGGGAAUAUUGCACAAUGGACGGAAGUCUGAUGCAGCGACGCCGCGUGAGUGAAGAAGGCCUUCGGGUUGUAAAACUCUUUUGAGGGGGAAGAGCGAGGACGGUACCCCUGGAAAUAAGCGUCGGCUAACUACGUGCCAGCAGCCGCGGUAAGACGUAGGACGCGAGCGUUAUCCGGAUUUACUGGGCGUAAAGCGUCUGUAGGCGGAUGUGUAAGUUGGGCGUGAAAGCUCCGGGCUUAACCCGGAGAGGCCGUUCAAUACUGCAUAACUUGAGGGUGUCAGAGGGGAGCGGAAUUCCCGGUGUAGCGGUAAAAUGCGCAGAGAUCGGGAGGAACACCAGUGGCGGAGGCGGUUCCCUGGGGCACACCUGACGCUGAGAGACGAAAGCUAGGGGAGCGAACAGGAUUAGAGACCCUUGGUAUUCCUAGCCCUACACGAUGAAUGCUAGGUGUGGGAUCGAAUGGUUCCGUGCCGGAGCGGACGCGAUAAGCAUUCCGCCUGGGGAGUACGGCCGCAAGGUUAAUACUCAAACGUAUCGACGGGGCCCAGCACAAGCAGCGGAGCGUGUGUUUUUAUUCGAUGCUACACGAACAACCUUACCUGGGUUUGACAUGUAGGUGGUAGUGAAUCGAAAGGUGAACGACCCUUCGGGGAGCCUACACAGGUGCUGCAUGGCUGUCGUCAGCUCGUGCCGUGAGCUGUCGGUUUAAGUCCCGUAACGAGCGCAACCCUUGCUCCUAGUUACAAGUGUCUAGGGGGACUGCCGCCGGAAAGCCGGAGGAAGGUGGGGAUGACAUCAAGUCAGCAUGGCCCUUAUAUCCAGGGCUACACACACGCUACAAUGGUCGGUACAAAGGGCAGCGAAACCGCGAGGCGGAGCGAAUCCGAGAAAAGCCGAUCGUAGUUCGGAUAGCAGGCUGCAACCCGCCUGCUUGAAGCUGGAGUUGCUAGUAACCGCGCGUCAGCCAUAGCGCGGUGAUACGUUCCCGGGGCUUGUACACACCGCCCGUCACGUCAUGG